GACGAACGCUGGCGGCGUGCCUAAUACAUGCAAGUCGAGCGGACGGAUGGGAGCUUGCUCCCAGACCGUCAGCGGCGGACGGGUGAGUAACACGUGGGCAACCUGCCUGUAAGACUGGGAUAACUCCGGGAAACCGGGGCUAAUACCGGAUAACUCUUUCCCUCACAUGAGGGAAAGCUGAAAGAUGGCAUCUCGCUAUCACUUACAGAUGGGCCCGCGGCGCAUUAGCUAGUUGGGGGGGUAACGGCUCACCAAGGCGACGAUUCGUAGCCGACCUGAGAGGGUGAUCGGCCACACGGGGACUGAGACACGGCCCAGACUCCUGCGGGAGGCAGCAGUAGGGAAUCUGCCGCAAUGGUCGAAAGUCUGACGGAGCAACGCCGCGUGAGUGAUGAAGGUUUUCGGAUCGUAAAACUCUGUUGUCAGGGAAGAACAGGUUCCGGAGUAACUGCCGGGACCUUGACGGUACCUGAUCAGAAAGCCACGGCUAACUACGUG
rnacentral:rRNA from 1 species